rnacentral:rRNA from 1 species
AUACGUAGGGAGCGAGCGUUGUCCGGAAUUACUGGGUGUAAAGGGAGCGUAGGCGGGAGUGCAAGUCAGAUGUGAAAUACAUGGGCUCAACCCAUGGGCUGCAUUUGAAACUGCAUUUCUUGAGUGAAGUAGAGGUAAGCGGAAUUCCUGGUGUAGCGGUGAAAUGCGUAGAUAUCAGGAGGAACACCGGUGGCGAAGGCGGCUUACUGGGCUUUCACUGACGCUGAGGCUCGAAAGCGUGGGGAGCAAACAGGAUUAGAUACCCUGGUAGUCCACGCUGUAAACGAUGAUUACUAGGUGUGGGGGGACUGACCCCUUCCGUGCCGCAGUUAACACAAUAAGUAAUCCACCUGGGGAGUACGGCCGCAAGGUUGAAACUCAAAUGAAUUGACGGGG